CUACGGGCUGCUGCAGUGAGGAAUAUUGCACAAUGGGGGGAACCCUGAUGCAGCAACGCCGCGUGGAGGAUGACGCAUUUCGGUGUGUAAACUCCUUUUAUAUGUCAAGAAAAUGACGGUAGCAUAUGAAUAAGCACCGGCUAACUCCGUGCCAGCAGCCGCGGUAAUACGGAGGGUGCAAGCGCUACUCGGAAUCACUGGGCGUAAAGGACGCGUAGGCGGGUUGGAAAGUCAGGUGUGAAAUCCUACAGCUUAACUGUAGAACUGCACUUGAAACUUCUAAUCUAGAGUAUGGGAGGGGGAGAUGGAAUUAGUGGUGUAGGGGUAACAUCCGUAGAUAUCACUAGGAAUACCUAAAGCGAAGGCGAUCUCCUGGAACAUUACUGACGCUAAGGCGUGAAAGCGUGGGGAGCAAACAGGAUUAGAUACCCGCGUAGUC
rnacentral:rRNA from 1 species